rnacentral:rRNA from 1 species
GAUGCUCGUCAUUGCAGUAAUACAGUUAACACAUUAAGUGUGCCGCCUGGGGAGUACGGUCGCAAGAUUAAAACUCAAAGGAAUAGACGGGGACCCGCACAAGCGGUGGAGCAUGUGGUUUAAUUCGAAGAUACGCGAAGAACCUUACCUAGACUUGAAAUCCUUGGAAUCCUGUAGAGAUACGGGAGUGCUAGUUUACUAGAACCAAGUGACAGGUGCUGCACGGCUGUCGUCAGCUCGUGUCGUGAGAUGUUGGGUUAAGUCCCGCAACGAGCGCAACCCUCGUGAUUAGUUGCUAACAGUUCGGCUGAGCACUCUAAUCAGACUGCCUUCGUAAGGAGGAGGAAGGUGAGGACGACGUCAAGUCAUCAUGGCCCUUAUGUCUAGGGCUACACACGUGCUACAAUGGUUGGGACAAAGAGCAGCGAUACCGCGAGGUGGAGCAAAUCUUAAAACCCAAUCUCAGUUCGGAUUGGAGUCUGCAACUCGACUCCAUGAAGCUGGAAUCGCUAGUAAUCGUAGAUCAGCAAUGCUACGGUGAAUACGUUCCCGGGUCUUGUACUCACCGCCCGUCACACCAUGGGAGUUGAUUUCGCUCGAAGCCGGAAUACUAAAUUAGUUACCGUCCACAGCGGAAUUAGCGACUGGGGUGAAGUCGUAACAAGGUAGCCG